rnacentral:rRNA from 1 species
AGUGAACGCUGGCGGUAGGCCUAACACAUGCAAGUCGAACGGCAGCACAGUAAGAGCUUGCUCUUACGGGUGGCGAGUGGCGGGCGGGUGAGGAAUACAUCGGAAUCUACUUUUUCGUGGGGGAUAACGUAGGGAAACUUACGAUAAUACCGCAUACGACCUACGGGAGAAAGCAGGGGAUCUUCGGACCAUGCGCGAUGGAAAGAGCCGAUGUCGGAUUAGAUAGUUGGCGGGGUAAAGGCCCACCAAGGCGACGAUCCGUAGCUGGUCUGAGAGGAUGAUCAGCCACACUGGAGCUGAGACACGGUCCAGACUCCUACGGGAGGCAGCAGUGGGGAAUAUUGGACAAUGGGCGCAAGCCUGAUCCAGCCAUACCGCGUGGGUGAAGAAGGCCUUCGGGUUGUAAAGUCCUUUUGUUGGCAAGGAAGGGCAUCAGGUUAAUACCCCGCUGUUCUGACGGUACCCAAAGAAUAAGCACCGGCUAACUUCGUG